GACGAACGCUGGCGGCGUGCUUAACACAUGCAAGUCGAACGGAAAGGCCCUGCUUUUGUGGGGUUCUCGAGUGGCGAACGGGUGAGUAACACGUGAGUAACCUGCCCUUGACUUUGGGAUAACUUCAGGAAACUGGGGCUAAUACCGGAUAGGAGCUCCUGCUGCAUGGUGGGGGUUAGAAAGUUUCGGCGGUUGGGGAUGGACUCGCGGCUUAUCCGCUUGUUGGUGGGGUAGUGGCUUACCAAGGCUUUGACGGGUAGCCGGCCUGGGAGGGUGACCGGCCACAUUGGGACUGCGAGAGGGCCCAGACUCCUACGGGAGGCAGCAGUGGGGAAUAUUGCACAAUGGGCGGAAGCCUGAUGCAGCAACGCCGCGUGCGGGAUGACGGCCUUCGGGUUGUAAACCGCUUUCGCCUGUGACGAAGCGUGAGUGACGGUAAUGGGUAAAGAAGCACCGGCUAACUACGUG
rnacentral:rRNA from 1 species